rnacentral:misc_RNA from 1 species
UGGUUCUGGCAUCGAUGAAGAACGCAGCGAAAUGCGAUAAGUAAUGCGAAUUGCAGAAUUUCCGUGAGUCAUCGAAUCUUUGAACGCACAUUGCGCCCUUUGGCAUUCCGAAGGGCAUGCCUGUUCGAGCGUCAUUAUCCUCCCUCAAGCCCCCGGGUUUGGUGUUGGACCGCGUGGGCGUCCUCGCACCCCACGGGUCUCAAAGACAAUGACGGCGUCCGUUUGGGACCCUCUUCGCACUGAGCUUUCCGGAGCACGCGUCGAGUUGCAAGGUCUCGGGGACCCGGUCACCUCUAUUACUUUUUCUAGGUUGACCUCGGAUCAGGUAGGAAUACCCGCUGA